rnacentral:rRNA from 1 species
UACGGGGGGAGCAAGCGUUGUUCGGAUUUACUGGGCGUAAAGGGCGCGUAGGCGGUUUUUUAAGUCGGAUGUGCAAUCCCCAGGCUCAACCUGGGAACUGCAUCCGAGACUGGAAGGCUAGAGUACUGGAGAGGGUGGUGGAAUUCCUCGUGUAGCGGUGAAAUGCGUAGAGAUGAGGAGGAACACCAGUGGCGAAGGCGGCCACCUGGACAGUAACUGACGCUGAGGCGCGAAAGCGUGGGUAGCAAACAGG